UAUGCAUGGGUGUUGCAAUGAUUUAAGAUAUGACUCAUGAUUUCUGUAUUCCACUGCUUAAAACAUUUAUUUCAUAAAUUCAGACUGAAAAAAUUACAAGUCGGUACUAAAUUUUACUUGGUUUUAGCCUCAUUCCGUCCCCUGUCUCGGCAACCACCUGAGUAGGAAGGAGAGAUAUUUUCUCCAAAUUUCCUUCACCCUUCUGUCUUUCAUUUGGCGUAUAAUCCAAACUCUUCGUUAGAAACACAAAAUCCCUAUCACAAACAAUUCUUUGGAAUUAAAGAAACUAACUGGUAACACCGGGUGUGAUAAUGGAUAUUUUUGGGAAUUUGGCGAACCUACAGACGAGAAGGCAGCUCCAGAGCCUUAUGACGCUUCGCAGGUACAAUUCGAUCGUAGAGGUAGCACAAGAACCUAUCUACGCAUUUCUCUUGAAAUUUUGGCCGAUUUCUAUGGUGCUACUACAGUGGUGAAUGAGGGUUGUUCGCAAUGUAUCAUGCUACUUGAUUGUCGUAAUAUAAGGGAGUGGGAUCAUACUAUGGAUCACUAAGUUCAAGUAGAAGCCAAUGUAACCAUAGAACCUCACUAACAUUUGAAGUCAUGGACUUGUAUUCUACUAAAGCUGAGGAUCGAGAACCACUAAUUGCUUCUUUGUUCGCCAAGAUAUCGGAGCUCCUCUAAGGAGCAUAAUAUAGCUUGUUUUGUGACUGUCUUGUGAAGUUGCAUCCUAGUAAAUCAGUAUUACAAAAUGCAACCACAUUAAGACAUCCUCGUGUCGGAAGGAAAAUAGUUUUGACCUGUGAACUUUUGGUACCACGGGAUGUUUGUUGGAGAAUAUAAAGCGACUUGCACAAACAAUAAACUUUUAAGUCUCCAUCACUAGCAAAAUCUUGAGGAAUUUUCAUAUGUACCUCCUUAUCCAAGUCCCCCGUGUGUAAAAAUGUGUGUAGAGUUUUCUUCACUGUAACAACCAUAAAACUUUGCAUCGUUGCUAAUUUUUCAAUUAGAUCGAAGGUUUCAUUGAA